rnacentral:rRNA from 1 species
UACGGGGGGGGCAAGCGUUGUUCGGAAUUACUGGGCGUAAAGGGCUCGUAGGCGGCCAACUAAGUCCGACGUGAAAUCCCCAGGCUUAACCUGGGAACUGCGUCGGAUACUGGAUGGCUUGAAUUCGGGAGAGGGAUGCAGAAUUCCAGGUGUAGCGGUGAAAUGCGUAGAUAUCUGGAAGAAUACCCGUGGCGAAGGCGGCCGACUGGGCCGUCUCCGACGCUGAUGCGCGAAAGCGUGGGGAGCAAACAGG